GCCCUCUGCACAUGGAGCGUAUCGUCAUAGAUGUGUACAAGAUUUGACUCGCAGUUGACGAUACGCGUAUGGCUGCACUUCCACACAUGCUGCAUACUAAAAGCGUACAGAUUUUGUUCAUUCAAGUUGGCAUCCAGCAGUGAUGAUGAUGAUGAUAUAUUUUAUUAUUUUUGUCGUAGCCGAAAAAGGAGGAAAAUAACACGAUUUUGGGUUCAGCCUUACAUUGAAAGAAGUGUAAAUAAUAGAUUGUUUAUUUCUGCUAGGAUAUUAUCAGAAAAUGCAAAAUUUCAAACAUUUUAUAGAAUGACG
rnacentral:lncRNA from 1 species